UCCGUUGUGACAAUGCAUGGUGUCUUGC
rnacentral:piRNA from 1 species